UACGGAGGGAGCUAGCGUUUUUCGGAAUUACUGGGCGUAAAGAGCGUGUAGGCGCCUAAUUAAGUUGAAAGUGAAAUCCCAAAGCUCAACUUUGGAAUUGCUUUCAAAACUGAUUGGCUAGAGAUUGACAGAGGAUGAUGGAAUUCCUGGUGUAGAGGUGAAAUUCUUAGAUAUCAGGAGGAACACCGGAUGCGAAGGCGAUCAUCUGGGUCAAAUCUGACGCUGAGGCGCGAAAGCGUGGGUAGCAAACAGG
rnacentral:rRNA from 1 species